UAGCCUCGUACUGUGGACGCGGUCUGCCGACUAGAGCACCUAGAGCAUUUUAUUGUGUGGACAUACACAAUCGGCUGUAUACAACCGAUUUCAAUAAAACCUGCUUCUAUAAAUUCGAACUAAUUUCGUAGUGUAGACAUACCCAAGGAAACUCAGAUGGAAUAGUUCAGCCUAAUACAAGUGUUUAAAGUUAAUGAGCAGCACAUUCAUAGCCUUUGUAUUUUUACAUUCUGAGAAUCUUUAUUCAAUAAUAUGGCAGAGGUAUAAGGUUAACUAGUGGUGACCUUUUUCUAAACGUGGUAAGUAUCAACAUAAUUCUUCUGGAUAAUGAUCCUAAGUCCGACAGUGAGUGAAUAAGGUCUGGGAAGCACAGGUCAUGUAAAUACUGUCCCAGGGAUGGAUUUUCAAGCACUCAGGACCCACUCUCAGGGCCAGAUUUUUAAAAGAGCUCAGCACAUUAGUUAUUGGUACAGGUUUUACAAAUGAGGCUUUAUUUAGGUGUCUGUGGGAGAAGAGUUCUUUUGAAAAACUGACCCCAGUUGAGGGUGCUGAGCCCUUCUGAAAAUUCCAGUUCCAGUGUCUGUGUUUGCUUUGGCCUGUGUCUUUCCUUGAGUAUCCCUGCCGUGAUCUAGGAAACUAUUUUAUUCUCGUGCUCUCUGUAGCUUGCCUUUCACAAAGCAGGUGAGCGCUCUCCUUUGAGGCAGACAGCGGGAAUCCUCCUGCAGGAAGGACUUGUAACAGAUAUCCCUCAGGCACCUUGUACCAUCACAGCCCCCAGCCCCUGUAACACAGCUGUGCUCCACUAGCUACUGGGAGAAAGAGACUCAGACUUAUUCCUGUCUGAUACCCAUGUUGCAGCUCUGGCACUAAGCCAACAUUCAUUAAUAAGCCUUUAAAUGCUGUGGCAAGGGCAAAAUUUCUCCAUCUGUAUGUACUAUUGUAAACUUUUUCCAUAUCCUUCCAUUUAGCAAACUCUUUAGCUUGUUUUAUCUCUGCUACAAAUGUAUUUUCCCCUCUCCCCAUAUCUUCUCAUUCUGUCCAACUCAUUGUGGCCAGUAGACUAGGGUUAUUUUUAAAAACCUGAUUAAUUUUUUUCCUACUGCUAGCGUUAAAAAUGAAUGCAUAGAGAGAUCAAACAAGGAGAGAUUAAAGAGAGAACCGUAAAUUGUUCUAAAAAUAGAUCCUUUUCUCUUCAAGUCUCAUGAAUCUGUUGCACACAGUACAGCUUAGUUUCUUUAAAAGGAACAAGCCCCUUCAUUUCUGUUGAUGAUAGAAGCACUGUUUAUAAAUCUCCUGAUGAAAGCAGAACAUAAUUUAAACACUGUACCAUAGAAGAUGUUGGCAUCUGUUAAGGAUUUUUGUGUGAGAGAGUGAGUGUAAGAUGUUCUAAGACUUUUUUUUUCCAAAUUUUUAAAAAGUUUAUUUCCAAGUCACUCUCAGCACAUGGUAAAGUUAACAUUUUUUCAGGAUUGUCUGGUUCUGGAUUCCACUGCUUUAUUUAUUAACCAGCCAUGUGUGUAGAAGAAAGAAUUUUAAAAAUCAAAGCUCACAUUUUUUUUAGCCUUUCCCUAAUGCUUGAGAGGUAUCUGUUCUGUAAACAAUAUAUGGCAGAGAGCUCAAAGGAAAUGAGUAAACCCCUUACAGUGAAGCACAUUUUAGCAGCUUGCUUAGCUGAGUGCUUUUUGUUUAUUUGUUAAAAUCCAUUGCCAAAUAUGGAGUGAAGAUUUACUCAGAAGAAACUGCUUUACCAAGGAAUUGAUUCUGUCUCACUGACUCAAGACUGUGCAGAAGAGAGAUAAGUAGUGUCUUGGCUUCUUGAGUUAUCAGAGUCACCAAAUCAUCACUUUUUUCCGAUGACUGUCUUAGCUCCAUGGAAUACCUUGUCUGAACUAGUAGGAGAAAGAAAACAGUGAUAGGCCCUGACUCUUUCAUCCAUUUUUUUCAGUUUCUCAUUUCCUUUUCUCUAUCAGCAGCAGAGAGAAGCUUUGCUCUGCAAUCCCACCUAUAAGGACCUCAAAUCCUUUUGGAGAACAGACUUGGGAACCCUGUUCUGGGACCUGAUCCCUGCUUCAAUCAGAAAUAGCACAUUAUUAGAAGAAAAACUGUUCUCAUGGUGUUUGCAUCCUGCCUGGAACCACUGUACAUCUGAGAAGGAGGAAGCCUUUUCUUACGUGACUCCAGCAGAUGCAAAAGGUUUGGAGGCAACUUAGAUAAGACUGCACAACAUCACAGCGACAAUCAAUCCCUGAAUCGACGCGCGUACUCCACCAGUGCAGGUAGGAGUAAGCGCUGUCGACGGGGGAGCCACGGUGGUCGAUUUGCCGUCAUCCUCACAGCGGUGGUCGAUUUGCCGUCAUCCUCACAGCGGAGGUAUGAGAAAAAAGCUGCAACGUAAAAAAAACAACCAACUGGGAGGUUACUGAUUAAAAGCCAAGAAUACAAGACAGGAACAACUGUUAGGCUACGCAAUUGCUGAAGAUAAUUAAAGCAUCUGAAGCAAGCUGAGUUGAACAGCAAGUAAACAAAUGAACAGAACACUCCACCCUUCCUCUUAUUUGAACGCUGUGCAGUUAAUUGAGAAUGUGAUCGACCAGUCCUUCCCUUGCUGCCAGGGCAAACUCUUGUAAAUUUACGUCGCCAGUCUUCUACAGAGCAACAGCAGCACUUGCCCUUCCGCUUGCCGUUUGUUUGGACAGCCAGUGGCACUGCUCAGGGAGAAAGCAGCAGCACAGGAACGCCGUCUGAGUACUCUACAGGAUGUGGUGUACAUUGGAGUAAUAGUCAUGCUGAAGUGCCGCUGUCUUGAC